rnacentral:rRNA from 1 species
CCUACGGGAGGCUGCAGUGAGGAAUAUUGGUCAAUGGACGAGAGUCUGAACCAGCCAAGUAGCGUGAAGGAUGACUGCCCUAUGGGUUGUAAACUUCUUUUAUAUGGGAAUAAAAUGUUCCACGUGUGGGAUUUUGUAUGUACCAUAUGAAUAAGGAUCGGCUAACUCCGUGCCAGCAGCCGCGGUAAUACGGAGGAUCCGAGCGUUAUCCGGAUUUAUUGGGUUUAAAGGGAGCGUAGGUGGAUUGUUAAGUCAGUUGUGAAAGUUUGCGGCUCAACCGUAAAAUUGCAGUUGAAACUGGCAGUCUUGAGUACAGUAGAGGUGGGCGGGAUUCGUGGUGUAGCGGUGAAAUGCUUAGAUAUCACGAAGAACUCCGAUUGCGAAGGCAGUUCACUGGACUGCAACUGACACUGAGGCUCGAAAGUGUGGGUAUCAAACAGGAUUAGAUACCCUUGUAGUC